rnacentral:misc_RNA from 1 species
UUACGCUCACAAUCAGAUGCACUAUAAGUGAGGCUAAGCACUUUUAUUGCAAAAUUUCUCAAAUCUGGAGUUGAAGCUCCGUAAGCAUUCCACCAUUCAGCUAUUAAUAAAAUAACGCAUAUUAAUCAUGAUUAAAAAAAAAUUGCAAGACAAGAUUAAAUGCUUAUGAUUAAAAUUAUGUUACCUGGAGAUAUUGCUGUUCGAUUCCUAAUUGUCACAGGCAUCCCAAAUAUGCCAGCACUAUUUUGAUACAAAAGUAGUUGUUUCAUGAUUUUGUCUUGCUCUUGUUGGGUUGGAAUCAACCUUUGUAGAACUGUGUAUAAACCAGUCAUAACCUCUUCAUCUGCAGCAAUCUGAGUAUUUGAAUAAAAAAAUUCAGGAUUUAAAAAUUAUCCGGCAGCAUGCAAAGGACAAUGCAAUUGAAGUGACCAUCUCGCUCAAUAAUCUCAAAAAUGCUCUUG